rnacentral:rRNA from 1 species
GAUGAACGCUGGCGGCGUGCCUAAUACAUGCAAGUCGAGCGAACAGACGAGGAGCUUGCUCCUCUGACGUUAGCGGCGGACGGGUGAGUAACACGUGGAUAACCUACCUAUAAGACUGGGAUAACUUCGGGAAACCGGAGCUAAUACCGGAUAAUAUAUUGAACCGCAUGGUUCAAUAGUGAAAGACGGUUUUGCUGUCACUUAUAGAUGGAUCCGCGCCGCAUUAGCUAGUUGGUAAGGUAACGGCUUACCAAGGCAACGAUGCGUAGCCGACCUGAGAGGGGGAUGGGCCACCCGGGAACUGAGACCCGGUCCAGACUCCUACGGGAGGCAGCAGUAGGGAAUCUUCCGAAAUGGGCGAAAGCUUGACGGAGCAACGCCGCGUGAGUGAUGAAGGUCUUCGGAUCGUAAAACUCUUUUAUUAGGGAAAAACAAAUGUGUAAGUAACUAUGCACGUUUUGACGGUACCUAACCAGAAAGCCCCGGCUAACUACGU